GUGAUUCUCUCUCGUCUUCUGACCUUAUUCUUCACCACUCAGUGCAAGACUCAUCUUCUCUGUGCAGCUUUCCCUGAUUGCACAAGGAAGCAGUGGUUAUUCAUUCCAUUGGAGUUCUGCCGUAGAACUCACCAUUUACAUCACUCAGACCAAGCACAUCUUGAACGAGACCAAAAGCUGUAGAGGGUGAAGCACAUGAAGCAAGAGCUCAAUGGUUGAAAGUGGAAAAAUGGAAACCCCCUCAGGGGAAUCUUAAAAUUUUGAGUGGUGGCGGUGCUCAGCAGACAACACAGGCAGCAACACGCUGAAUGCUUGGAAACCAGAGAGCGUCAAGGAUGCUGUAAGAGAAUAUGCAGGGAAACUUUCAGCUUUACUGAGGAAUAAUUGAUAUACAAAAAGCUGCACGUACUUAAAGGAUCAAUUUGAUGAGGUUGGACGUAUGCAGACACCUGUGAAAGCAUCACCACAAUCAAGCAUGGCGUGCCAAGCAGUGCCAUAUCCACAGCCG